AUGUAGACACCAUAUGGUACCACGUAGUAUGUAUAGUUGAUCACGGACUAUAACAUGGUAUACACGAAAAUCACGUAGUAUAUCGUGGUUGCAUUCUAUAAUUU
rnacentral:sRNA from 1 species